CCCUCCAAUGAAUGCGGUCGGAUAUUGUAAGAAAAGAAAUGAGCCAAUUAGGAAAUAAAACAAGUCUUAUAUUUUUUAAGGGCCAACAAAAUCGAUCUCAAGCAUUCUCGAGGUAUUUACGGGAUCAAACGGAGUACUCCGAAAGUAACUGAAGUCCACCACCAAACAAGUCUUUACGGGCCAAUUAACUAACAGGAAACAGAAAAAUGAAAAAGAAAAUCACCUAUCAGCAUCUGCAGAACAUUCAGGAGAUAAUUCGGAGCAAUCACUACCACCAUAGCAAUCAAAGCACUCACAAAUAGG